GGUUCGAUCAUGGCUCAGAUUCCAGACGCUUUGGCGGGAUGUGUUUACAUACAGUCGGGCAGCUGGACUUCGGUCUGGUGGCGAGUGGCGAACAGGUGAGUAAUGUAUCGGAACGUGCCUAGUAGCGGGGGAUAACUAUGGCCUUCGUGGCUACAUACGCCCUUCGGGGGAAAGCGGGGGACCUUCGGGCCUCGCACUAUUCCGAAACGGCCGAUAUCGGAUUAACCAGUUGGUGGGAGUGUUAACGGCUCACCAAGGCGACGAUCCGUAGCUGGUUUGAGAGGACGACCAGCCACACUGGGACUGAGACACGGCCCCAGACUCCUACGGGAGGCAGCAGUGGGGGCUGGACAAUGGAAACCUGAUCAGCUUAUCCCGCGUGUGCGAUGAAGGCCUUCCGGGUUGUAAAGCACCUUUUGGCAGAAAACUUGGCACGGGAUAAUACACCCCGUGCAACUGACAGUACCUGCAAAAUAAGCACCGGCUAACUUCGUGCAGCAGCCGCGGUAAUACGUAGUGCAAGCGUUAAUCAGAUUACCUGGGCGUAAAGCGUGCGCGGGCGGUUCCGGAAAGAAAGAUGUGAAAUCCAGAGGCUUAACUUUAGAACUGCAUUUUUAACUGAGCUAGAGUGUGUCAGAGGUGGAACCGCGUGUAGCAGUGAAAUCGUGAUAUGCGGAGGAACACCGAUGGCGAAGGCAGCCUCCUGGGAUAACACCAACUCAUGCGGCGGCGAGGAGCAAACAGGAUUAGAUACCUAGUGGUCUACCGCCCUAAACGAUGUCAGCUAGCUGUUGGGGCCUUCGGGCCUUGGUAGCGCAACUAACGUGAAGUUGACCGCCUGGGAGAUACGGUCGCAAGAUUAAAACUCAAAGGAAUUGACGAAGGAUUACACAAGCGGUGGAUGAUGUGGAUUAAUUCGAUGCAGCAUGAAAAGCUAUACCUACGCACAACAUGUCUGGAAUCCAAGAGAUUUGAGGUGCUCGCAAGAGAACCCCGGAACCUGAGUGCUGCAUGGCUGUCGUCAGCUCGUGUCGUGAGAUGUUGGGUUAAGUCCACAGCGAAGCGCAACCCUUGUCAUUAGUUGCUACGAGGCACUCUAAGUGAGACUGCUGAUGACAAACCCGGAGGAAGGUGAGGAUGACGUCAAAGUCCUCAUGGCCCUUAUGGGUAGGGCUUCACACACGUCAUACAAUGGUCGGGACAGAGGUCGCCAGCCCGCGAGGAGCAAUCCAGAAGCCGAUCGUAGUCGGAUCCAUGAUCUGCAAACUCGACUGCGUGAAGCCGGAAUCGCUAGUAAUCGCGGAUCAACAUGUCACGGUGAAUACGUUCCCAGGUCUUGUACACACCGCCCGUCCUGUACGGAGUGGGUUUACCAGAAGUAGUUAGCCUAACUGUAAAGGAGGCGAUUACCACGGUAGGAUUCAUGACUGGGGUGAAGUCGUAACAAGGUAA
rnacentral:rRNA from 1 species